CGCUCCCAAUUUGAUAAAUCGAUUGCAAUCGCCGCGAUCUAAGUCACCGUUUCUGAAUUCGUUGGGGUUUGAUCGGACUAGGAGUUUAUGACAUCGCGGUGGCGAAGGAGGAGGAGGCUAGGUUAGGGUUUGAGUUUUCGGGAGCUAUCUGCUCGAAAUCGGUGACAAUGGCGCCGAGGCUCGGCUCUGGCGACGUAUCCGGCUUCAAGUUCCUUCUCUUUCUGGUCGAGAUUUACGACCUCAUCGUCGUGCUUGUCCGCUUGAUUGUUCCCUAAUCUCGUCGUGAGAUUCACGCUUUGGUGUUCAGAUCGAUGCAUGAUUUCCGAUUCAUGCUAUUCACGAUUCGGCAAACUUUUUCGCGAUUAUAAGUAGUGGUGAGAGAAAUGAACGGCGGCGGAGAUGGGCUCGUGGCUCCGGCGACGUCUAGAGAGGCGAUGGCGCUGCUCGACUGGAAGUUUUCUCAGGUUUUUGGAGAACAGACCGCCUACGAGGAAGUUCAGGAAGGGCUGGUGAGCUAACUGCUGCCAAAAUUAAUAACCUGAUGUUCAUUGUGGGAAAUCCCCGCCAGUUCAAGAUCCCUGACUGGUUUCUCAACACAAAGAAGGAUUACAAGGAUGGUAAAUAUUCUUAGGUGGUUGCCAAUGGCUUGCGUAUGAAGCUCAGGGAUGAUCUCAAGAGGCUCAAGAAGAUCAGGAAUCACCGUGGUCUUCGACACUACUAGGGCCUUCG